rnacentral:rRNA from 1 species
UACGAAGGGUGCAAGCGUUAAUCGGAAUUACUGGGCGUAAAGCGUGCGUAGGCGGUUAUUUAAGUCUGUUGUGAAAUCCCCGGGCUCAACCUGGGAAUGGCAAUGGAUACUGGAUAGCUAGAGUGUGAUAGAGGAUGGUGGAAUUCCAGGUGUAGCGGUGAAAUGCGUAGAUAUCUGGAGGAACACCGGUGGCGAAGGCGGCAUCCUGGACCGGCAUUGACGCUGAUGAGCGAAAGCCAGGGGAGCAAACGGG